rnacentral:rRNA from 1 species
AUUGAACGCUGGCGGCAGGCUUAACACAUGCAAGUCGAGCGGGGGAAGGUAGCUUGCUACCGGACCUAGCGGCGGACGGGUGAGUAAUGCUUAGGAAUCUGCCUAUUAGUGGGGGACAACAUCUCGAAAGGGAUGCUAAUACCGCAUACGUCCUACGGGAGAAAGCAGGGGAUCUUCGGACCUUGCGCUAAUGGAUGAGCCUAAGUCGGAUUAGCUAGUUGGGGGGGUAAAGGCCUACCAAGGCGACGAUCUGUAGCGGGUCUGAGAGGAUGGUCCGCCACAAUGGGAAUGGGACACGGCCCAGACUCCUACGGGAGGCAGCAGUGGGGAAUAUUGGACAAUGGGGGGAACCCUGAUCCAGCCAUGCCGCGUGUGUGAAGAAGGCCUUAUGGUUGUAAAGCACUUUAAGCGAGGAGGAGGCUACUUUAGUUAAUACCUAGAGAUAGUGGACGUUACUCGCAGAAUAAGCACCGGCUAACUCUGUGCCAGCAGCCGCGGUAA